rnacentral:rRNA from 1 species
GUCAGCUCGUGUCGUGAGAUGUUGGGUUAAGUCCCGCAACGAGCGCAACCCUUGUCAUUAGUUGCCAUCAUUAAGUUGGGCACUCUAAUGAGACUGCCGGUGACAAACCGGAGGAAGGUGGGGAUGACGUCAAGUCAUCAUGCCCCUUAUGACCUGGGCUACACACGUGCUACAAUGGACGGUACAACGAGAAGCGAACCUGCGAAGGCAAGCGGAUCUCUUAAAGCCGUUCUCAGUUCGGACUGUAGGCUGCAACUCGCCUACACGAAGCUGGAAUCGCUAGUAAUCGCGGAUCAGCACGCCGCGGUGAAUACGUUCCCGGGCCUUGUACACACCGCCCGUCACACCAUGAGAGUCUGUAACACCCAAAGCCGGUGGGAUAACCUUUAUAGGAGUCAGCCGUCUAAGGUAGGACAGAUGAUUAGGGUGAAGUCGUAACAAGGUAGCCGUAGGAGAACCUGCGGUUGGAUCACCUC